rnacentral:rRNA from 1 species
AACGAACGCUGGCGGCGCGUCUUAAGCAUGCAAGUCGAACGGCAAGAGAGGAGCUUGCUUCUCUCCUAGAGUGGCGGACUGGUGAGGAACACGUGGGUAAUCUACCCUUAAGAUGGGGAUAGCUGCUAGAAAUAGCAGGUAAUACCGAAUACACUCGGCAUAUCACAAGAGGUGUUGAGGAAAGGAAGCUACGGCUUCGCUUGAGGAUGAGCUUGCGUCCCAUUAGCUAGUUGGUGAGGUAAAGGCCCACCAAGGCGACGAUGGGUAUCCGGCCUGAGAGGGUGAACGGACACAUUGGGACUGAGAUACGACCCAAACUCCUACGGGAGGCAGCAGCUAAGAAUAUUCCGCAAUGGACGGAAGUCUGACGGAGCGACGCCGCGUGGAUGAAGAAGGCUGAAAAGUUGUAAAAUCCUUUUGUUGAUGAAGAAUAAGGGUGAGAGGGAAUGCUCAUCUGAUGACGGUAAUCGACGAAUAAGCCCCGGCUAAUUACGUG